AACCAUGGCUUGUUAUUCUACCAAGGCAUUAAACAUAAAUGAGAGUUGUUUUGCCUUUGGUGUUCAACAACUUCAUCCAGCCCUUAUACAAAGACCUUUCGGGGCUCGUAUACAGUUAAGCUAACUGAUCAGAAGGAUACCAUGAUAAGAGGUGGAAUAGUUCUGUUUGGAAUUAAACUCUGUAACCAGUAGACUCAGACACACAAGCUCAGAUGGAUACCUGCCCACUAUGUCUAUCCGCAGGCUUUUGUGCAGCCGGGAGUGGUCAUUCCACAUGUCCAGCCGACAGCAGCUGCCGCCUCCACCACCCCUUACAUUGAUUACACUGGAGCUGCAUACGCACAAUACUCAGCAGCUGCUGCUGCUGCCGCCGCCGCUGCUGCCUAUGACCAGUACCCCUAUGCAGCCUCUCCAGCUGCUGCAGGAUAUGUUACUGCUGGGGGCUAUGGCUACGCAGUCCAGCAGCCAAUCACCGCAGCGGCACCUGGGACAGCUGCCGCCGCCGCUGCAGCAGCUGCUGCCGCUGCAGCAUUUGGCCAGUACCAGCCUCAGCAGCUGCAGACAGACCGAAUGCAAUAGACCAGCCAUCUGAUCAAAGUUGAAUUGUUUUCUCUUUCCCUCCCAAUUUUCCAAUUUUUAGUAGCUAAUAAGAGAGUUAACAUUGACUUAACAGCUUU
rnacentral:sRNA from 1 species